CCGUUCAGCCAUAUCGCUCUUCAGCUCUCGCCUGGUUUCCCACUGAAGCUAAGUAGGGUUGAGCCUGGCCAGUACCUGGAUGGGGGACCUUCUGGGGAAAAUUAAAGUUGCUGCUGGU
rnacentral:rRNA from 1 species